AGCUUGCUCCUUUGACGUUAGCGGCGGACGGGUGAGUAACACGUGGGCAACCUACCCUAUAGUUUGGGAUAACUCCGGGAAACCGGGGCUAAUACCGAAUAACUUGUUGUCUCUCAUGAGACAAUUCUAAAAGACGGUUUCGGCUGUCGCUAUAGGAUGGGCCCGCGGCGCAUUAGCUAGUUGGUGAGGUAACGGCUCACCAAGGCGACGAUGCGUAGCCGACCUGAGAGGGUGAUCGGCCACACUGGGACUGAGACACGGCCCAGACUCCUACGGGAGGCAGCAGUAGGGAAUCUUCCACAAUGGGCGAAAGCCUGAUGGAGCAACGCCGCGUGAGUGAAGAAGGAUUUCGGUUCGUAAAACUCUGUUGUAAGGGAAGAACAAGUACAGUAGUAACUGGCUGUACCUUGACGGUACCUUAUUAGAAAGCCACGGCUAACUACGUGCCAGCAGCCGCGGUAAUACGUAGGUGGCAAGCGUUGUCCGGAAUUAUUGGGCGUAAAGCGCGCGCAGGUGGUUUCUUAAGUCUGAUGUGAAAGCCCACGGCUCAACCGUGGAGGGUCAUUGGAAACUGGGAGACUUGAGUGCAGAAGAGGAUAGUGGAAUUCCAAGUGUAGCGGUGAAAUGCGUAGAGAUUUGGAGGAACACCAGUGGCGAAGGCGACUAUCUGGUCUGUAACUGACACUGAG
rnacentral:rRNA from 1 species